rnacentral:tRNA from 2 species
GGGGAUGUAACUCAAUGGUAGAGUAUAUGCUUUGCAAGCAUGAGGUUACCGGUUCAAGUCCGGUCAUCUCCA